AUUAGGUGUGACAGCGCGCACGGCAUCGCCUUUGUUCGCCGAAACAAGUCCUCGUCCCGCUUGUGUUUGCGCUCGCAGGGGACGAUGUCCUUCGCAGCUGCGAGUCGCGCGUUAUACCGGAAUGUUUAUCUUGCUCGGCUCGGUCGUUAAGAACGUGCCGAAAGGUUAAGACAAAGUCUAAAGGACGACAUCCGUCGCUCGCAAGCAUUCGCCAGACUCUGCUCCUAACCUAUACGUCGUCGACCGACGCUGGUGCGCUUAAUCUGUCACGGUACCGUUCGCUCGUCACCUGUCACCUGCGUCCUGCAUCUUCCGCGGGAGAAUCGAGAGUACAUCGUGAUAUCGUCGUCAUCCAGACGAUUCUAAAUUGCCGGCUCGGGCGAGCACGGGCACGAGCUGCUUUUGAGGUUAUCUGUUAUCCUGCAAUUUUAACGAUUUGUUUUCGAGGAGUUGAGGGCUCAGGACAUCACAAGAUGGCCGGUAGCAGUGAACUCUGGGUGCAAUGUUUUACGUGCUGUAUGACCCAACGACCGGCGAGGACACGGAACGGCCGGUCGCAGCAGCAUCAGAAGCUCAGGAUAGACAGGAGCAUGAUCGGCGUACCCACGAACUUUCGACACACAGCGCACAUAAGCAGCGGCGACGUGGACAUGUCGAUCGCGCAAUUGGCUAAUCUACAAGCGCAGAUGCAGAGGAAGGGUGGAUAUGACACCAAUAUCGGUGCCAAGGUACGUUUAAACUCUCGUACAGGCACCUGAAUCCUUAAAGCAGAAUCUGAGAAGCAAUCCUGAAAUUUCUCGCCAAUGUAUUCAGCAGACUUCCAGGAUGCUGAGAAUAGUGUUGCGAGUUCACAUAGAUGUGCUCAAGUAUCCUGCAACUGACAUUUAAUUCAAUGGAUGGAUGGAGGAAGGGGAGGAAGGAAGAAAUGUGGAGCAAGAGAGCUUUACAACCCAAUCAACGAUGACUGACUCUUUCUAUUCUCUUUCUUUUUUUUUUUUAUACUGAUGUUCCUUGCUCGGCGAGAAUGGGCAACGAGUGAACACCAUGUCCACGCGCUAGAUUGCAUUUACACGGUGAUCGAUUAGAGAGCUAAGACCAAUAUAUGUACAUUAGACGAAUGUCCGAAUUUCUUUUCGGAAAAGAAGCUGCCAGACGUAAUUAUAUACUAUUGUAUCGCGACGUACAAAAUAUUACAAAUAAUCGUUCA